rnacentral:tRNA from 10 species
GGAGAGGUGUCCGAGCGGCCGAAGGAGUACGAUUGGAAAUCGUAUGUACCUUAACGGGUACCGAGGGUUCAAAUCCCUCCCUCUCCGCCA